rnacentral:rRNA from 1 species
UACGAAGGGUGCAAACGUUGCUCGGAAUUAUUGGGCGUAAAGCGCACGUAGGCGGUUUGUUAAGUCGGAUGUGAAAUCCCUCGGCUCAACUGAGGAAGUGCAUCCGAAACUGGCAGGCUUGAGUACUAAAGAGGGUCGCGGAAUUCCCGGUGUAGAGGUGAAAUUCGUAGAUAUCGGGAGGAACACCGGUGGCGAAGGCGGGUCUCUGGGCCGUAACUGACGCUGAGGAGCGAAAGCGUGGGGAGCGAACAGG